GACGAACGCUGGCGGCGUGCUUAACACAUGCAAGUCGAACGGUGAAGCGCCUUCCUUUUUGGUGGGUGUGGAUGAGUGGCGAACGGGUGAGUAACACGUGAGUAACCUGCCCCCUUCUUCUGGAUAACCGCAUGAAAGUGUGGCUAAUACGGGAUAUUCUGGGUCUGUCGCAUGAUGGGUCUGGGAAAGAUAUUGUUUCGGUGGGGGAUGGGCUCGCGGCCUAUCAGCUUGUUGGUGGGGUGAUGGCCUACCAAGGCGGUGACGGGUAGCCGGCCUGAGAGGGUGGACGGUCACACUGGGACUGAGACACGGCCCAGACUCCUACGGGAGGCAGCAGUGGGGAAUAUUGAACAAUGGGCGAAAGCCUGAUGCAGCGACGCCGCGUGAGGGAUGGAGGCCUUCGGGUUGUGAACCUCUUUCGCCAGUGAAGCAGGCCUGCCUCGUUUGUGGGUGGGUUGACGGUAGCUGGAGAAGAAGCGCCGGCUAACUACGUG
rnacentral:rRNA from 1 species